AGUGAACGCUGGCGGUAGGCCUAACACAUGCAAGUCGAACGGCAGCACAGUAAGAGCUUGCUCUUACGGGUGGCGAGUGGCGGACGGGUGAGGAAUACAUCGGAAUCUACUUUUUCGUGGGGGAUAACGUAGGGAAACUUACGCUAAUACCGCAUACGACCUACGGGUGAAAGCAGGGGAUCUUCGGACCUUGCGCGAUUGAAUGAGCCGAUGUCGGAUUAGCUAGUUGGCGGGGUAAAGGCCCACCAAGGCGACGCUCCGUAGCUGGUCUGAGAGGAUGAUCAGCCACACUGGAACUGAGACACGGUCCAGACUCCUACGGGAGGCAGCAGUGGGGAAUAUUGGACAAUGGGCGCAAGCCUGAUCCAGCCAUACCGCGUGGGUGAAGAAGGCCUUCGGGUUGUAAAGCCCUUUUGUUGGGAAAGAAAAGCGGCAGGUUAAUACCCCGCUGUUCUGACGGUACCCAAAGAAUAAGCACCGGCUAACUUCGUG
rnacentral:rRNA from 1 species